CAUGGACGCGCGCGGGCACAAAGCAAGCAAUUGCUUUUGCAGCGAUCGUAUUCGUACGUCAAGCCUUAGCUACAACGAAGCCAUCAAUCCGAUCCCAUGGACAACGGAACACACCACCUCUUCUCUUCUCNAGCCGUAUCAUACGGCAAACCGAUUCCGUUCGGAUAACUAUUCGGAUGCCGUCCAUCUUCAUCCAACCGGAGAAAUCGCACGCUUUACCGU
rnacentral:lncRNA from 1 species